GGGUUGUGAGGUUAAGCGACUAAGCGUACACGGUGGAUGCCCUGGCAGUCAGAGGCGAUGAAGGACGUGCUAAUCUGCGAUAAGCGUCGGUAAGGUGAUAUGAACCGUUAUAACCGGCGAUUUCCGAAUGGGGAAACCCAGUGUGAUUCGUCACACUAUCAUUACGUGAAUACAUAGCGUAAUGAAGCGAACCGGGGGAACUGAAACAUCUAAGUACCCCGAGGAAAAGAAAUCAACCGAGAUUCCCCCAGUAGCGGCGAGCGAACGGGGAGCAGCCCAGAGUCUGAAUCAGCUUGUGUGUUAGUGGAACGGUCUGGAAAGUCCGACGGUACAGGGUGAUAGUCCCGUACACCAAAAUGCACAGGUUGUGAACUCGAAGAGUAGGGCGGGACACGUGGUAUCCUGUCUGAAUAUGGGGGGACCAUCCUCCAAGGCUAAAUACUCCUGACUGACCGAUAGUGAACCAGUACCGUGAGGGAAAGGCGAAAAGAACCCCGGCGAGGGGAGUGAAAAAGAACCUGAAACCGUGUACGUACAAGCAGUGGGAGCCUCUUUAUGGGGUGACUGCGUACCUUUUGUAUAAUGGGUCAGCGACUUAUAUUCUGUAGCAAGGUUAACCGUAUAGGGGAGCCGAAGGGAAACCGAGUCUUAACUGGGCGUUAAGUUGCAGGGUAUAGACCCGAAACCCGGUGAUCUAGCCAUGGGCAGGUUGAAGGUUGGGUAACACUAACUGGAGGACCGAACCGACUAAUGUUGAAAAAUUAGCGGAUGACUUGUGGCUGGGGGUGAAAGGCCAAUCAAACCGGGAGAUAGCUGGUUCUCCCCGAAAGCUAUUUAGGUAGCGCCUCGUGAAUUCAUCUUCGGGGGUAGAGCACUGUUUCGGCUAGGGGGUCAUCCCGACUUACCAACCCGAUGCAAACUGCGAAUACCGAAGAAUGUUAUCACGGGAGACACACGGCGGGUGCUAACGUCCGUCGUGAAGAGGGAAACAACCCAGACCGCCAGCUAAGGUCCCAAAGUCAUGGUUAAGUGGGAAACGAUGUGGGAAGGCACAGACAGCCAGGAUGUUGGCUUAGAAGCAGCCAUCAUUUAAAGAAAGCGUAAUAGCUCACUGGUCGAGUCGGCCUGCGCGGAAGAUGUAACGGGGCUAAACCAUGCACCGAAGCUGCGGCAGCGACACUAUGUGUUGUUGGGUAGGGGAGCGUUCUGUAAGCCGUUGAAGGUGUACUGUGAGGUAUGCUGGAGGUAUCAGAAGUGCGAAUGCUGACAUAAGUAACGAUAAUGCGGGUGAAAAACCCGCACGCCGGAAGACCAAGGGUUCCUGUCCAACGUUAAUCGGGGCAGGGUGAGUCGACCCCUAAGGCGAGGCCGAAAGGCGUAGUCGAUGGGAAACAGGUUAAUAUUCCUGUACUUGGUGUUACUGCGAAGGGGGGACGGAGAAGGCUAUGUUAGCCGGGCGACGGUUGUCCCGGUUUAAGCAUGUAGGCGGAGGUUCCAGGUAAAUCCGGUACCUUUUAACGCUGAGGUGUGAUGACGAGGCACUACGGUGCUGAAGUAACAAAUGCCCUGCUUCCAGGAAAAGCCUCUAAGCAUCAGGUAACACGAAAUCGUACCCCAAACCGACACAGGUGGUCAGGUAGAGAAUACCAAGGCGCUUGAGAGAACUCGGGUGAAGGAACUAGGCAAAAUGGUGCCGUAACUUCGGGAGAAGGCACGCUGAUAUGUAGGUGAAGUGAUUUACUCAUGGAGCUGAAAUCAGUCGAAGAUACCAGCUGGCUGCAACUGUUUAUUAAAAACACAGCACUGUGCAAACACGAAAGUGGACGUAUACGGUGUGACGCCUGCCCGGUGCCGGAAGGUUAAUUGAUGGGGUUAUCCGUAAGGAGAAGCUCUUGAUCGAAGCCCCGGUAAACGGCGGCCGUAACUAUAACGGUCCUAAGGUAGCGAAAUUCCUUGUCGGGUAAGUUCCGACCUGCACGAAUGGCGUAAUGAUGGCCAGGCUGUCUCCACCCGAGACUCAGUGAAAUUGAACUCGCUGUGAAGAUGCAGUGUACCCGCGGCAAGACGGAAAGACCCCGUGAACCUUUACUAUAGCUUGACACUGAACACUGGUCCUUGAUGUGUAGGAUAGGUGGGAGGCUUUGAAGUGUGGACGCCAGUCUGCAUGGAGCCAUCCUUGAAAUACCACCCUUUAAUGGCUGGUGUUCUAACGUGGACCCGUAAUCCGGGUUGCGGACAGUGUCUGGUGGGUAGUUUGACUGGGGCGGUCUCCUCCUAAAGAGUAACGGAGGAGCACGAAGGUUAGCUAAUCCUGGUCGGACAUCAGGAGGUUAGUGCAAAGGCAUAAGCUAGCUUGACUGCGAGAGUGACGGCUCGAGCAGGUGCGAAAGCAGGUCUUAGUGAUCCGGUGGUUCUGAAUGGAAGGGCCAUCGCUCAACGGAUAAAAGGUACUCCGGGGAUAACAGGCUGAUACCGCCCAAGAGUUCAUAUCGACGGCGGUGUUUGGCACCUCGAUGUCGGCUCAUCACAUCCUGGGGCUGAAGUAGGUCCCAAGGGUAUGGCUGUUCGCCAUUUAAAGUGGUACGCGAGCUGGGUUUAGAACGUCGUGAGACAGUUCGGUCCCUAUCUGCCGUGGGCGCUGGAGAAUUGAGGGGGGCUGCUCCUAGUACGAGAGGACCGGAGUGGACGCAUCACUGGUGUUCGGGUUGUCAUGCCAAUGGCAUUGCCCGGUAGCUAAAUGCGGAAGAGAUAAGUGCUGAAAGCAUCUAAGCACGAAACUUGCCCCGAGAUGAGUUCUCCCUGAGACUUAAAGUCUCCUGAAGGAACGUUAAAGACGAUGACGUUGAUAGGUCGGGUGUGUAAGCGUAGCGAUACGUUGAGCUAACCGAUACUAAUGAACCGUGAGGCUUAACCUUACAACGCCGAAG
rnacentral:rRNA from 1 species